CACGCCAACCUGCCAUAUUACAUGUGAUAGUAUAGCAGGUGCAGGUAAAGCUGGUCUCGUGUCAUGGUUUAGGAGGUUUGGUCGAACUUGGCACUGUGUUCAUGUAUUAAUGCCAGACCCGCCCCAAUCUGCCUUGUUUAUAUGUAGUAUGGCAGGUUUGGGUGAGCCUGGCAUUGUCCAUUAAUUGUGGUACAGCAGGCUGAGGUGAAGUAAGCACUGCAUAUGUCAUGGUAUAGCCGGUUGUGGUGAGCUUGGAACGGAGUUCAUGUGUUAUGGUACUUUGGAGUGACAUUGACACUAUGUACAUGUGGUAUGGCAGGUUGUGGUGAGCCAGGCAGUGUGUACAUGUGGUAUGGUAUGUUGGGGGCAAGCUCGGCACUGUAUAUCUUUCUCUGCUUCACUCCACCUGGUUUGAUUGCUACCUCCUGUCCUACACCCCACCUCCUAUAGACUGUAAGCUCGUUUGAGCAGCGUCCUCUUCAAUCUAUCAUUGCUGUAAGUUUUCUUGUAAUUGUCCUAUAUCGUUAAAUCCCCC